CGUUAUAUCCGCGUCGCGCAGUGGCUCCCGUGGCGUCGAGGUGGAGGCAGGCAGGCGGCUCCCAUCCCUUGUGAGGCAGGCAUGCAGGCUGAUGAGGGAGCCAGAGACGCCCUCGUUCAUCUGAUGAGCCACACAGCCGCCCGUGACUCGCCUGCCAGACCCGCACGCCGCCCACACGCCCACGGCCUCCGCGCACCCCCUCCCGCUCCCCACCCUUUCACGCCCACGUCAACAGAACGUGGCAGUGCGUGGAGCGAGCUGCGGGAAGGAGGGCGUGUGUGCGUUCGUUCUGCCCCGUGAAGAUCAACGACAGACACACACACACACCAUGCACGGGAGACAUCAAGAAAGAGAACAGGAGAUGGACGCGAGGUGACGGAGACAAAGAAGCUGCUGGUGGGGCGGCGAAGGGCGUGACGUGGCGGUGUGGGUUCCCUCUCUCUGCCUGGUGGUGGUGAUGCGUUGGGAGGAGGAGGACGUGAGGCCAAGGAAGGACAGACAUUCAUAGAUCACACGGCCUGAAGAUGCAUUCAACUCCCAUAAAUCAUUUUAUUAACAACUGGAAAUAGCUCGUUAAGUAUGCAUCUCUUGUUGACACUCUUUCAGGAGGGGAGUAUCAAGACACCUGAAAUUGGCCACUCAAUGCUUGCCGGGCUGCCCGCCGCGGUACUCUCGAUUUCGGAUGGAGAGAGAUGUCUUGAUACUCCUCUUGAGGGAAGAAGGCCCCUAGACUGAUUUAGUAUUUGAGAGGGAAAAACUAAACUUUACAGUUACAUUUGACAGGAAAGAUUAUAAAACGUCCAUCCUUGAGCAAGCCGAUUUAGCAAACAUUUUCCUGUAAAUAUUUAAUUAAGACUCCAGAAUGUUUAGUACAGAAGGGGGACAGAGGAGUUUAAAGCAAGGGACAUGUUUGGAAGAUUGUCAUGUUAUCAGCUGGAUAAAUAGUUUAAAGGAUUGAAGCACUCCAAGUGGCUAAUCAUUUUGUAAGUCGUGGAAAAUAUCCAAGGUCGCCUAUUAUGUCUUUACAUAGGCCUAUGUAAUAAAGCUCAAAGAGAACGUC